GUUCAACUGAAUUACGAAUUAUGAAGUUUGCUCUGAUCUUGAUGCUUUGCUGUGUUUUGUUGAUUGUCAUUGUUCCAAUCGCUUCCUCGAAAGAACGCUUUCGAGGGGCUUUUUACAACUCCCACAUACCAGGAUCAAUUGAGGAUGAUAACUUGGACGAGAUGAGAAGCCUCCAGCAGGGCCUUGAAAGGCUCCGCAGCUGAUUUGAGGGUCAACCAAAUAAACGCAUUUCAACAUACUAACUGUUAUGUUUAAGUGAUGCGUUUAAGUAAAACAUAAUAAACCCUAUUUACUC